GCCUGGUGGUUCCCAGAGACAGCUAGUCAGUGCUGAUCUGUGGGAUUUUGAUUGACAGGCAUAUCGCUGCGAUAUAAUGCAUAGCGUCUGCUUCCCCGUGCAGCCUCCAUAGCCCGGUUUCAGAGACAUUC
ensembl:snoRNA Small nucleolar RNA SNORA84